rnacentral:rRNA from 1 species
CCUACGGGAGGCAGCAGUGAGGAAUAUUGGUCAAUGGACGAGAGUCUGAACCAGCCAAGUAGCGUGAAGGAUGACUGCCCUAUGGGUUGUAAACUUCUUUUAUAAAGGAAUAAAACGAGGCACGUGUGCCUUUUUGCAUGUACUUUAUGAAUAAGGAUCGGCUAACUCCGUGCCAGCAGCCGCGGUAAUACGGAGGAUCCGAGCGUUAUCCGGAUUUAUUGGGUUUAAAGGGAGCGUAAAUGGGUUGUUAAGUCAGUUGUGAAAGUUUGCGGCUCAACCGUAAAAUUGCAAUUGAUACUGGCAGUCGUGAGUACAGUUGAGGUAGGCGGAAUUCGUGGUGUAGCGGUGAAAUGCUUAGAUAUCACGAAGAACCCCGAUUGCGAAGGCAGCUUACUAAACUGUGACUGACAUUGAUGCUCGAAAGUGUGGGUAUCAAACAGGAUUAGAUACCCCUGUAGUC